rnacentral:rRNA from 1 species
GUGGAUUAGAUACCCUAGUAGUCCACGCCGUAAACGAUGAGUGCUAGGUGUCACGGGCUUUGACCCUCGUGGUGCCGAAGCUAACGCGUUAAGCACUCCGCCUGGGGAGUACGGCCGCAAGGCUAAAACUCAAAGGAAUUGACGGGGGCCCGCACAAGCGGUGGAGCAUGUUGUUUAAUUCGACGCAACGCGAAGAACCUUACCUGGGCUAGAAAGCACUGGAAGUCGGUCGAAAGGUCGAUGUGUCCUUCGGGAAACCAGUGGUUAGGUGCUGCACGGUUGUCGACAACU